rnacentral:lncRNA from 1 species
UCCUGUGUCUGCAGAGCAAAUCUGUGCUGGGUCCAGACCGCAGCAUGGUCGUUUUGGUGGCCCUCGGCAUGGUGACGGUGCCUUUCCUAACCCCGCUCUCACCGCUUCCCUCCCGCUGCCCGCUCCCCGCUCUGGCUGAGCCUUUAAUCCAUCCCCGGCAGCACUGCCGCCCGCGCUGCUGAUUGCAGGAGGGGGUGCCGGAGCUAACGAUCCGAUCCCAUCGAUCCGUGAAUCUGUAAUGAGACUCCGGUUCAGAUUAAUCAGUCAUUAGGCCAAAAUGCCAGCACGCUGCCUGGAAACUAUUUGUCUUUGCUGCUGCGUUUUAUUUAUUUCACUCAAUGCGAUUCCAAAGGGCUCCAUCCUUCCCUCACAGAGAGCAGCAGCCCUAGUGCUGGUGGAAAGCAGUAAUGGGAUCGGGAGAGAGCUGAGGUGCACGGGGCCGAGCUGCCAGAGCUGCUUACCGUGAGAAAUGGAAGGAUCCCCAUCGGCCGAUCAAAGGGGAGGAGACCUGAGCUGCACCGGGGGAAGAUAUCUGAUAGCAGAGGCUCCUCCAGCUCAGCAGGUACCACCUGGAGGUGACACUGUCUUCCGGUCCAAGCAGUGGCUCGCAACCCAUCUUGGGCAGGGAGUGACCCAUGGAGCUGCUCACCUUCCCCUGUCCCAGCUGGAUGAUCAGGGCUGGCAAAGCCAUCCUGAAGUGCCCCAGCUCCAGGUGACCCCAUCUCCCCCCGCACACCCCGCUGCCGAGCCCCCAGGGCGCGGUGGCUGAUGCACAUCGUGGGGCAGAGACAACCGUUGGCCACGCUCAAUGGUGCUUUGUUCUCAGCCCAGGAAGCAAUGAAAAUCCUCCCGCUUUGAAGCCCGAGGAGGCCUUUUUAUUACAUCCAGGGCUCCUGGAACAGGGAACCGUGAGUGCUUCCCCACAGCACGAUGAAAAGCUCUCCUGCCUGAGACCACAGCAACUCAUUACACAUGGGAGCGGUGAGGCCAGUGAAUAUUGCCGUGCGUGCAGCUGGGAGAUGGAAGGGCCAUGGUUCAAUGCUGUUGACCUCGCACCCUCUGACUGCAGAAAACCAUCCCAUUUUUGGGGCUGAGAAGCUCCUUAGCAGCAAGGCUGCCCUAAUAAGUCCUCUUAAUCUUCCCCCAUAAAUCACUCCUCCCCUCCCCUGCACUCUAUCGGCAUCAUCUGAAGCCAUUAGUUAAUUUCAAGCUGGGAGUUCACACAUUGCCUGGUCCCAUCCCGUCUCCCUUCUGCACUAAGUAUGGACACCUGGAGGAAGGCUGCCUGAAGUCACCCUCCUCAUCUUCCUCUGGUGGGGAGGAGGUGACAGCACACCCCCACCAGCCCAGCAGAACAGGGGCACAGAGCUUUCUGCUCCUCCCUGGUGCCCCAUUCUGGGAUUUACUGCUCCAGCUGGGAUUAACUCUGAAACCUGCUGACAACGCCUGAAGUGCCUGUGUCCCUGCAGCUCACCCCCAUUUUGCUAAUGAGCUUUGCUCAGCGGCUCAAGAUUUGUCCUUAAAAGCAACUUUUGAGGAUUGAGAAGUAAGUGUUUAAAGAUGCAAAUGGGAUAAAAAUGUGUGGUGUUCCCACAGGUGUUCUGCGUGCUUUGCUCAAACCCCCCAACCCCACUGUGCAGCUGGUGAGUGCAGCCAUGGCAGUGGGUCCUCUCCAACCCCAAGGACAGGUCCUGAUAGGAAGACCAGGACACAGCGAUGUCACGCCCCGAGGCAUGUUGGGUUUUUUCUGCCAUUUUUUUCAUCAUUUUGAGGCAGGAGUCAUAAAUGCUAAAGAUGCGCACGGAAUUUGAAUAUGAAUGAUAAGAACAGCUGUGUAUAUCUAUUAUGAACGAAUAUAAACAGAAACGUAUAAACUGAGAUUCUGGGGGCUUUGGGAAGAAUUAGUGCCUUUGUUCCUGGAUUUUUUUCCUAUCAGAGUUUGAACCAAAGCCCAUUAGCCCGGACUUUCCCGCAGCCGCCCCAGCCAGGAGCUUCAUUUCGUGCUGGCUCCGAGCCAUGCUGAAUUCUCCUCAACAGCUCAGUGAGCCCUAAUCCUAACAAAUUUACCCAGAGAAGUGGUUCUCUUAUUACACUGCCUAAUUUGAACGCUUUCCAAGGUUAAUUUCUGCUCCCUCUCCCUCUGAAUGCGCCUGCCCCCCCGUUCCCCGUUAGCACCAGCCCGGGGGGAGCAGCCCCAGAACUUCCCCUCCCGGCCACGAUUGGUUUUAAAUGAGAAAAUAAUGCGAUGUUCGUCCCCGGGUGCGGGGUCUGCCCGCGGGGUUUCCUAAUGCUAAGCCACUUCCUUUGCAAAUUAAUUGCAACUUUUGCUGGGCGAAAAUAGCCCUGGAAGCCCGCUCCCCACGGAUUCUUCCUUGUGUAACACUACUCUGUUUGUAAUCUGAUUGCUGUGACUCUCGUUUCUUCUCCUCUCCAUCCCGGGUGUAAUAGAGCCUGCAAGGGCUUUUCAGUACCUAGGGGACAUCCUGGUGGUACCAGUGGGAUAUCCCUAUGGUACCUCUGGAUCACCCCUAUGGCAUCUAUGGGAUAUCCCCAUGGUACCCCCCGGGGCAUCCCAUUGGUACUCAGUGGGAUAGCCCUAUGGUACCUCGGGAGCAUCCCUACAGAACCCUCUGGGGCAUCCCAGUGGCAUCCAUCGGGCAUCCUGGUGGUACCCUAUGGGGCACCCGUAUGAUACUCACCCUUAUCCCUUCACCAUGAGAGCACUGCUGCCACUGGGACCGUCCCCAGCCCUUCUGACAGCCCAGCUCCUACCCGGCCCUGCCUUCCCCCUUCAAAGCAAUGUGACUUUUAUAGCAAUUACUUCUGAACCCUGCGCUGGGGCCGUGCCAAGGAAAGCAGCAGAAAACAAUGUGAUGGGCCUCGGCAGGCGCGGAAACUCCACCGGCGGAGACCGGCCCUAAAAUAACUUUCAUGCGAUGGUUAUUUAUUCUGGGAGAAAGUUCAUUCAUUCACAAUUCGGAGGGGAGAGACAUCAAUGCACAGGGGCAGUGUGAGGGUGCUGUGAGCUCACACCCUGCUGCCUCAGCUCUGGGGUUGUUUGAAGGGUAUUGGGGUUGAGAUGACCAAAAUCAGGGGGAGGAGGUCCUGCCUGCCUGGGGGGCAGCUUCCUCUCCCCAGGCUGGGUUUGGUUGUCAGCUCAAUGGGCUCAGAAUUAACCAAUUGGUGAUGUGAUGCAGUGACCCUUCAUUUUUCCUUUAAAAUAUACACGCAUAGGUUUGUGUUUUUUGCAGUUACGAACGUCAUUCCCCAAUCCGCUCAGGAGCCAGCAAUUUUCUGGCCGAGGUGGGAAGCUGCCGACAUCGUGUGAUACAUGGUGAGAUUGAUUGUAUUUACUUACCCUUUAACCUAAUAAAGAAAAAUAAUGUUCCUUCA